AGUGAACGCUGGCGGUAGGCCUAACACAUGCAAGUCGAACGGCAGCACAGUAAGAGCUUGCUCUUACGGGUGGCGAGUGGCGGACGGGUGAGGAAUACAUCGGAAUCUACUUUUUCGUGGGGGAUAACGUAGGGAAACUUACGCUAAUACCGCAUACGACCUACGGGUGAAAGCAGGGGAUCUUCGGACCUUGCGCGAUUGAAUGAGCCGAUGUCGGAUUAGCUAGUUGGCGGGGUAAAGGCCCACCAAGGCGACGAUCCGUAGCUGGUCUGAGAGGAUGAUCGGCCACACUGGAACUGAGACACGGUCCAGACUCCUACGGGAGGCAGCAGUGGGGAAUAUUGGACAAUGGGCGCAAGCCUGAUCCAGCCAUACCGCGUGGGUGAAGAAGGCCUUCGGGUUGUAAAGCCCUUUUGUUGGGAAAGAAAAGCAGCAGGUUAAUACCCCGCUGUCCUGGCGGUACCCAAAGAAUAAGCACCGGCUAACUUCGUG
rnacentral:rRNA from 1 species